AACGCACCUUGCGCCCUCUGGUAUUCCGGAGGGCAUGCCUGUUUGAGUGUCAUUAAAUUCUCAACUUCAAAAGUUGUAAUGACUUAUUGAAGCUUGGAUGUGGAGGUUUUUGCUGGUAUUCAUUUAUCGGCUCCUCUUAAAUGUAUUAGUGGAAACCUGUUUCUUUGGGUCAACCCUUGGUGUGAUAAUUAUCUACGCUUUGGUGUUUGGCACCAAGUCUGGAUAGUGCAAGUCUAUUGCUCUGUCUGUGCUAUCAAGGAUUUUGCGGCCUUUCGGGGUGCUUUAUCUGGAUAGAAGGGAUUUCUGCUCUCUAACUGUCUAUUUUACAUGGACAACUUAUUUGACUAUUUGACCUCAAAUCAGGUAGGACUACCCGCUGAACUUAA
rnacentral:misc_RNA from 1 species